GAAUAUUAUUGAAAUUCAAGCAAAACUGAAAUUGUACAGAAAAUAGAUAAGUACAAGCCCAGUGCCCUGCACAGCUCUGUGAACAAGGAUUUCAUGGUCAUCACAGAGUGAACAGUACACUGUAAUCUAAUCAAGAUUGUAAGUGUGUUUUGUUUGGCUGUAGAACAAAGAGGAAGGAGCUAUGUGUGCAUAUAUGCAUCCAUGUCGGGGGUUAGGGAAGAGUGCCAGAUAACCAGACAGUCCUGUUCCCAGUGGGAAGUCAAUGGAAAAUAUCCACAACCGAAAAUCAAGAAAAAGGACAGGUCUCGGUUUUCUGAUCUGUAACUUGGGACUGAUACCACGGACGGGAUGGCUGGGAAAACGGAGCGCGAUGGUGCAUGUGGAAAACCUCGCUCUUACAAGGUCUGGAAACCAUGACUAACCCCCAAAUAAUGAGCAUCCGACACCCAGACUGUGUUCUCUAAAUUGGAUUUCGAACUAAAAGGAACCAUGUCUUCUUGGAUAAAUGCGGAUUUCAAGGCUGGGACGGGAAAUAUCAAAGGGCAGCCUGGGACAUUCUGUGGGUCAGGCAGGCAAACAAGCUGUCAGAGACUGCAGGGCAUGUGUCAAAAAGAUCUAAGAACCCACUUGAAUGAGUCCCACUGGCCAAAGAGGAGAGAAUGUGAACAUUAUAGCAAUGAUGAUACAAUACCAUGUCAAAUAUAUUAAAAUCUGUGAGUUCAAAAUGAUACGAAAAAAAAUGUGAUUACUUUUGGAAGAUGCUUAGAAACCAACUGGUUAUUUUGAAAAGUGGUGAAGGAGAAAACGGGAGGCACACAAAUAAGUCUUCUGCUCUGUCGAGGCUACAGCUCAGGAAUUUCAGCAAAAGAAAUGCUACAACCAGAAUCUGACCAUUUUGCAACUGCUCAUGAAACGCGGGUCCGAUCUGGGACCCGAGCUGGAAGUCCACGGGGCAGGCAGUUGGGAAGGGAGGUACGGAUGUCCGUUGCAGCAGAAGCCAGGAAGAGGGCCCGAAAGCUACAGCAAUUCUGGUCUCUGAUGUUGACGGUAAGGGUGUCCCACCGAAGCCAGGGCUUCUGGCGUGGGACAUGCAUGCGCGCUCAUGCGCGCGCGCGCGCACACACACACGCCCAGGCAGU